CGGGCAUAUGACGUCACCGCGCUGGAUCUGCCAUGUUUAGUGCAUAGACGUCCCUUUUCCCCAUUGUUUUCCAGCGCAGCGCAGGACGUAGUCUCGCCUGGUCUUGCUACUUAAUUGUGAUUUUUAACUAUCUUGCUGCUCACUUUUCUUUGCCACUAUUGUCCAUCGUUGUUGUGUCGUGGGGUGCAAUAGCGCAAGCCACCAUAGGAAAGGGGGAAUUGGAUUAUCUUUCUACUCAUUUCCUUCUUGGAGGCAGCACCAUGGUGACCAAGUCUGGGACAUAACAAAGUGUCGUCGGCUAGCAUGGGUCGCUGCUGUAAGACGACCAAAAAUAACUUUCCACUCAAUCCUGACGAGUGUGCUCUCUGCAUUUUCAUUUUGGUACACCAGCAAAUGAAAUGAACACCUCCCAUCCGGAUUGGGCACUAUCACUGCACUUGGGGUACACGACCAAGACAGUCACCACCACCACCGAGACUUCUCGCUAUGAGACAGGAACAAAGAAAACGACGAAGGACUGAGAGCAUAGCGUCGAUGGAUGAGACACCCCUUGUUACACCAGUGGAGACAACUGGGGGAGCAUCAGCAUCAGCACCUGCAGGCCUAGAGGAUGAAGCUGACCAGGGGCCGGUGUGUGCUGAGGUAAAGAUCCCCGCCUUCACAAGAGGACACUGUCAAUUGGAAGCAAGAGAUGUGGAAAACACAAGGACAAUUGCUCAUCUCCGAAUUCACGUGGAAAGGGUGAUUGGAACUGUCUGAAACAAAUACACAAUUUUGUCUGCAAAAGUGCCCAUCAACAUGGUGUUGCCAUGUGAAGGUGAAGAAAAAACAUUCCUUGACAAGAUUGUGUCUGUAUGUUGUACUCUGACCAUCAUGAGCAGGAGUGUUGUGCAAAGCUGAAGUUGACUGAAAUAAAUGUGCUUUGAGACUCAA